rnacentral:rRNA from 1 species
AGUGAACGCUGGCGGUAGGCCUAACAUAUGCAAGUCGAACGGCAGCACAGUAAGAGCUUGCUCUUACGGGUGGCGAGUGGCGGACGGGUGAGGAAUACAUCGGAAUCUACUUUUUCGUGGGGGAUAACGUAGGGAAACUUACGCUAAUACCGCAUACGACCUACGGGUGAAAGCAGGGGAUCUUCGGCCCUUGCGCGAUUGAAUGAGCCGAUGUCGGAUUAGCUAGUUGGCGGGGUAAAGGCCCACCAAGGCGACGAUCCGUAGCUGGUCUGAGAGGAUGAUCAGCCACACUGGAACUGAGACACGGUCCAGACUCCUACGGGAGGCAGCAGUGGGGAAUAUUGGACAAUGGGCGCAAGCCUGAUCCAGCCAUACCGCGUGGGUGAAGAAGGCCUUCGGGUUGUAAAGCCCUUUUGUUGGGAAAGAAAAGCAGCAGGUUAAUACCCCGCUGUUCUGACGGUACCCAAAGAAUAAGCACCGGCUAACUUCGUG